CCGACGCUUUCGAUCAAGAUAUCUCGAGCUGUAGAGCUUCGUUUUGAGUGAUUCUUGAACCAGUGAGUUCGUCUUUAAGUUCUGAACAAGUCUCCUGAAGGAAUCGAAGCGAAAGGAGGACAUUUUUACGUUGAUCGGAGCUUCGCCAGUUUCUGCAAAUUCUCGCCGGUUUCUGGAAAAAUUCCGGCCACCUCGACUGUUUUAGGUGAUCGAUGGAUUUAUUUGGCGGACGAUUCGUGAGAUUGUUAAUUGAGCUGUUAAGAAGACGCAGCUGGAUCAGAGCGGAUAAUCCUACAGGACUGGAGAAUUCAGGAAGGUGAUCGAACCGUGUAGAGUAGCUGCUUUGUAAUACUCUGAUUUUCAGUUGUGAGGUUUGUUAUGCUCAUUAG